AAAAAUGAUUUGAAAAAAAUAAUCCAUGCAUAUGUACAAAGUGCAGACUGAAAAUGUUGAAAGCUAGACAGAGAAAUCCGAAUCUCUCUUUUUCCUUUACAGAGAUUCAUGACAGAUUAUCAGAAUUACAAAGAGCUAGUCUCAGAGAAGGAGGUAGUCUCUCACAACGUGGUGAACCGAGGUUUAAAUCUCCUUUGAGAGAGGUAACCACAUAUGGUGCCAGGCAAUGGCUUGAAGAAGAUAAAGAGCGGGUUUUUGAUAACCAAGAUGCAUUUUGUCAUGUGGAAAGAGCUAACCUCCUACGAUGUAGCGAAUCAAGAAUUGAAUUCUUGCGGGAAAAUAUGUCUACUUUUAGUAUUCGACAAUAUGUUGAACAUGAUUGCUUUCGUAGAAAGAUACUUGUGGAAAACCAAAACGAAAAGGGGGUGGUUUAUUGUUGUGGAUUUGGGUUGAAUUGGGUUACUUUGUGUUCUGUUUUAUCUGCUUGUUCUCAGUCAGGCGAUGAGAGUGUGGGAAGGUGGAUUCAUUGUUAUGCUGUUAAGGCUAUGGGGUGGAAUGUGGGAGGGUAAGUGUUGGAAGUCCCACGUCGACUAGAGAUAAGGCCAAUUUAUAAUAUAUAAGUGAGGUGCAAACCUCACUUUACAAACCGGUUUUGUAGGGUUGAGUUAGGCUUAAAACCCACUUCUAAUAUGGUAUCAGAGCCAUGGUUAAAGCCAUGUCACCAAGGAAUUGCAUGGAGGCAUUGGAAGAGGUAGAACAAGUGUUGUUCAUAUUGUAGUUAGUUUUCUGUUAUGGGUUUGUUAAACCCAUUUGUUUUCAUCCCCGUUCCCCUUUCCUAACCUUUAAAAGGUUAGGAUUUCCCCUCUGUAGUUCAUAUCUCAGAACAUACAAUUCACACAUUACUUUAUAAUAUCAUCAUAUAUGAAAAAUUGUUUUUCUUACCUCUUUGUGUUCGUCUUGCUUCGAUCUUCAUCUUUCUCUCUUUCACUAUCUGCAACGGUUGCCUUCCAAUGCCUCUACGAUGGUUUCUCUCUCUUCAGUGAAGAAGAAGAAGACGCUCUGCUUCUCUCUCUGUCCAGUAGAUGUUUCUGACACAGUUGCUACAUCAAAGAGAUAUUUCUCGUUCUCUGUCAUGGACUGAGGGGCUUUGGGCCUUUCUUUUAUUUUGGGCCUCAUUACAAUAUGGUAUCAGAAGUACACUCUGUUUCUUGAAGCUGUUCUUGGCAUCUUGAUCCUCUCUUGCCAUGACGGAAACUACAUUCGAUCCCACCACCAAUCCCUCCAGCCCCUACUAUCUUCAUCCUGGGGAAAAUCCAGGCAUUGCUCUCAUUUCCCAGGUCCUUACCGAAACCAACUACUCAUCAUGGAGCAGAAAUCUGAAANGAGCUUUACUCUCAAAGAACAAGGUAAAGUUCAUUGAUGGCAGCAUCANAAAACCUGCCAGAACUGACAAAUUAUUUGAAGCAUGGGAACGAUGUGAUANUAUGGUGCUCUCCUGGAUCAUCAAGACCCUCUCAACUCAGAUUGCUGACAGCGUUCUUUAUGUUGACACUGCCAAGGAUCUUUGGGAUGACCUUAAAGACAGGUUUUCNAAGGGAGACUACUUCAAAAUUUCCGACUUACUUCAAGAUUUACACUCUAUCAAGCAAGGAGAAAGAAACAUCAGUCAAUACUUCACUGACUUAAAAAUCCUCUGGGAGGAAUUAGAAUCUUUGAGGCCUAUACCCUACUGCACCUGCCCAAACCCAUGCACUUGUGAUCUAUCUAAAGUUUCCCUCCAAUACAGAGAAGCUGAACACGUUAUCUGCUUCCUCAAAGGUCUUAAUGAUANCUAUCAAACUGUCAGGACUCAAAUNCUUCUAAUGGAGCCCCUUCCCAACAUCAACAAGGUUUUUUCUCUCCUAAUGCAGCAAGAAAGGCAGCAUCAGGACAGGGGAGGCCAAAAUGAUUCUUUCAGAAUUCUUGCCAACACUUCUGACAAGCCUAAUUGGAAAGGUCAAGGCCGUGGCACUCCUUCCCGUGGCCAAGGAAGAGGAAGGGGGAGAAAUCCCACUUAUGGGAAGCAAUGUUCCCAUUGCCACAAGAUGAACCACACAAUUGACGAAUGUUACAGCAAACAUGGCUUUCCACCAUGGUACAAGAAGAAUGAUAAUCAAAACAGUCAACACAAUCAAGACAGGGGAGGCCAAAAUGAAUGGAGAUAUGCUAAUGCUUGUAAAGAAGACUCUACAUCUACCCAGAAUCAAACCAUUCAGCAAGAAAAUCACAACAAUCCUAUGCAGGUUUUUACUCCUGAACAGAUGCAAAAACUGUUUAAAAUCAUAGAGAGUACCCAGACACAAAAUACCCACAGCAUUAGUCAAAUACAGAGAAACAUUCCUGAAGAUAAUCAAGGUAAUUUCUCCUGGAUUAUUGAUACUGGGGCCACAGAUCAUGUGACCCAUGAAAGAAAAUAUUUCAUUACUUUUCAAAAAAUUAGACCCAUAACUGUUAAACUCCCAAAUAACACUGUGGUUACAGCCCAACACGCUGGAACUAUCCAAUUUUUUGAAAAUUUUAUCAUUUUUAAUGUUCUUUACAUUCCUAAAUUUUCUUUUAAUCUGAUAUCUGUUCAAAGCUUGACAAGGGACUUAAAUUGUACCCUAACCUUUUCUUCUAAGACUUGCCAGAUUCAGGAUAGUUCCACCUUGAAGAUGAUUGGGCAUGCUAAAGUUUUCAAGGGCCUUUACUAUCUUCAGUCAUUUCCUGUUUUUACACAACAUUAUGUUCCUAAAGUUGUUCUUUCCUGUAAACAUGUUAGUGAUGACCUAUGGCACUAUAGACUAGGACAUCCAGGACACAAAAUCAUAGAACAAGUUUGUAAAAGUUUUCCCUAUGUUCAAAUGCCAUCUAAAAUUGUUUGUGAUAUUUGUCAUUAUGCUAAACAACAUAAACUGCCCUUUUCUCAGAGUACUACUGUUUCCACUAAUUGUUUUGAUCUAGUACAUUGUGAUAUAUGGGGACCCAUUUCCAUAUCCUCUAUUCAUGGACAUAAAUACUUUCUUACCAUAGUAGAUGAUUAUAGUAGACACACCUGGAUUUUUUUGAUGCAAAAUAAAGGACAAACUAGAGAACUUUUGCAGAAUUUUAUCCUAAAAAUCAAAAAUCAGUUUGGAAAAAUCAUUAAGAUUCUUAGAUCUGAUAAUGGUCCNGAAUUUAAUUGUACUANUAUGUAUAAUUCCUAUGGUAUUGAACAUCAAAGAAGCUGUGUGGAAACACCUCAACAAAAUUCUGUUGUUGAACGUAAACAUCAAGAUAUACUAAAUAAAACCCGAAGUCUCAUUUUUCAAUCUGGAAUUCCUACUGCUUAUUGGUGUUAUGCUGUUUCUCAUGCUAUAUAUUUGAUAAAUAGGCUUCCUACUUUUGUUCUUAAUGGUAGGACUCCUUAUGAAUUGAUGCAUAACACUUCUCCCACUUAUUUGAAUUUAAAAACUUUUGGCUGUCUUUGCUUUGCUUCUACUUUGGAACAUAAUAGACACAAGCUUGAUUCUAGAGCUAGGAAAGGUGUUUUCUUAGGAUACAAAAAUGGGAUUAAAGGAUAUGUUGUUCUUGAUAUAAAUACUAGAGAAAUUUUCCUAAGCAGAAAUGUUAUAUUCUAUGAGAAUGUUUUCCCCUAUAAAGAUCAACANAAUAAUGAGCAGAAUUGCAUUGACCAAGAAAUUGAAAAUGUUUUUCCUAAUAAUUUCUGGUAUGGUACUAAUUGUAAUGAAAAUCAAGAUUUUCUUGAGAAUAUAGACACUGAACAGCAACCAGAUUUUCUUGAGAACAAUGAACAGGAACCUGGUAGCAGAGAAAACACUGGCACAAAUGUUGGCAAUGAUCAUAUUGAUAUUGAUAACAAUUCUAGAAGACCCACUAGAACUAAAAGAGUCCCUAGAUAUCUUAAUGAUUAUAUUCAUCAGGUUAAUCACUCUUUAUAUGAUUCUCUAUGUACCAAAAACAAUUACAAAACCCCAUAUCCCAUUUCCAGCGUUUUGUGUUAUGAUUCCUUAUCUGAAAAACAUCUAAAGUACACCCUAGCUGUUUCUGCCGACAAAGAACCUAAAUCUUAUAAUGAAGCCAAAGAACAUCAUGAGUGGGUUACAGCUAUGCAAAAGGAACUCAAAGCUUUGCAGGAUAAUGGAACUUGGAUCUUAACUCAACUCCCUCCUGGAAAAAAUUCCAUUGGGUGCAGGUGGGUUUACAAAAUAAAACAUAAAGCUGAUGGAAGCAUAGAAAGGUAUAAAGCUCGUCUAGUUGCCAAAGGAUAUACUCAACAAGAAGGUAUAGACUUCUUAGACACUUUCUCACCUGUUGCUAAGCUAACCACUGUCAGAAUAAUUUUGGCCAUUGCUGCCGCAAAGAAUUGGCAUCUACAUCAGCUUGAUGUAGAUAAUGCCUUCCUUCAUGGAGAUUUAAAUGAAGAGGUGUACAUGGAGAUACCACCAGGGCUGGAUAUUCAGGAAAAAGGACAAGUUUGCAGGUUAACCAAGUCUCUAUAUGGGCUCAAGCAAGCUAGCAGACAAUGGUUUGAUAAGCUUUCUUCCUUUUUACUGUCUAAUAAUUACACUCAAUCAAAAUCAGAUCACUCUCUUUUUAUUAAAAGGACUUCUACUACUUUUACAGUCCUCCUUGUGUAUGUAGAUGAUAUCAUUUUGGCAGGAAAUUCUAUUAAAGAAAUUGACCACAUAAAGGCUCUUCUCCAUCAUGCUUUUCGAAUCAAAAACCUAGGAGAGCUAAAGUAUUUUUUAGGUUUUGAAGUUGCUAGAUCAAAAAAAGGAAUACACCUAUGCCAAAGGAAAUAUGCUUUAGAUAUUCUUGAAGANACAGGAAUGUUGGGUUCUAAGCCUUGCNCUACUCCCUUUCUAAGUGACACAAGUUCAUUAUACAAGGACGAAAAUCACCUGACAAAUCCUAACUCCUAUCGCAGGCUAAUAGGGAAGCUUCUUUACCUUACCAAUACUAGACCUGAUCUAUGUUUUUCUGUUAAUCUUCUCAGUCAAUUUGUUAAUUCACCUACUGAUUAUCACCAUCGGGCUUUGCANCACAUGCUUAGAUACAUUAAAGCUAGUCCUUCGCAAGGCCUUUUCUUUGCUGNUGAAACCAAUAUCCNGAUCAAAGCUUUCAGUGACUCUGAUUGGGCAACUUGUCCUAAAACGAGAAGAUCUACCACAGGAUUUUGUGUCUUCCUUGGAUCCUCUCUGGUGUCAUGGAAAACAAAAAAACAAAGUACUGUUUCCAGGUCGUCCACCGAAGCGGAGUAUCGAGCACUGGCUGCAACAGCUUGCGAGAUUCAAUGGAUCUCUUAGAUCCUACAAGAUCUCAAUAUUGAGACCACUGCUACUGCUGCCCUCUACUGUGACAAUAAGUCUGCCAGACAUAUUGCUCACAACCAAAGUUACCAUGAAAGAACUAAACAUAUUGAACUCGACUGUCACGUCAUCCGUGAAAAGAUUCAAGCUAAUCUUCUUCGUCUCCUUCCGAUUCACUCCAACGAGCAGCUUGCCGACAUAUUCACAAAGCUUCCUCACCGUGUGCGUUUCCAGUUUAUUGUUCCCAAGCUUGGAUUGGUAAACAUACACAAUCCAGCUUAAGGGGAGCAUAUUGCAGUUAGUUUUCUGUUAUGGGUUUGUUAAACCCAUUUGUUUUCAUCCCCAUUCCCCUUUCCUAACCUUUAAAAGGUUAGGAUUUCCCCUCUGUAGUUCAUAUCUCAGAACAUACAGUUCACACAUUACUUUGUAAUAUCA
rnacentral:lncRNA from 1 species